rnacentral:rRNA from 1 species
GAUGAACGCUAGCUACAGGCUUAACACAUGCAAGUCGAGGGGCAGCAUGAACUUAGCUUGCUAAGUUUGAUGGCGACCGGCGCACGGGUGAGUAACACGUAUCCAACCUUCCGUUUACUCAGGGAUAGCCUUUCGAAAGAAAGAUUAAUACCUGAUAGUAUGGUGAGAUUGCAUGAUAACACCAUUAAAGAUUUAUUGGUAAACGAUGGGGAUGCGUUCCAUUAGGUAGUAGGCGGGGUAACGGCCCACCUAGCCUGCGAUGGAUAGGGGUUCUGAGAGGAAGGUCCCCCACAUUGGAACUGAGACACGGUCCAAACUCCUACGGGAGGCAGCAGUGAGGAAUAUUGGUCAAUGGGCGAGAGCCUGAACCAGCCAAGUAGCGUGAAGGAUGAAGGUCCUACGGAUUGUAAACUUCUUUUAUAAGGGAAUAAAGUGAGUCUCGUGAGACUUUUUGCAUGUACCUUAUGAAUAAGGACCGGCUAAUUCCGUGCCAGCAGCCGCGGU